UGGGGAAUAUUGCACAAUGGGCGCAAGCCUGAUGCAGCCAUGCCGCGUGUAUGAAGAAGGCCUUCGGGUUGUAAAGUACUUUCAGCGGGGAGGAAGGCGAUAAGGUUAAUAACCUUGUCGAUUGACGUUACCCGCAGAAGAAGCACCGGCUAACUCCGUGCCAGCAGCCGCGGUAAUACGGAGGGUGCAAGCGUUAAUCGGAAUUACUGGGCGUAAAGCGCACGCAGGCGGUCUGUCAAGUCGGAUGUGAAAUCCCCGGGCUCAACCUGGGAACUGCAUUCGAAACUGGCAGGCUAGAGUCUUGUAGAGGGGGGUAGAAUUCCAGGUGUAGCGGUGAAAUGCGUAGAGAUCUGGGGAAUACCGGUGGCGAAGGCGGCCCCCUGGACAAAGACUGACGCUCAGGUGCGAAAGCGUGGGGAGCAAACA
rnacentral:rRNA from 1 species